rnacentral:rRNA from 1 species
UACGGAGGGGGCGAGCGUUAUUCGGAAUUAUUGGGCGUAAAGGGCGCGUAGGCGGCCUUGUAAGUCAAAGGUGAAAUCCCUCGGCUCAACUGAGGAACUGCCUUUGAAACUGCAAGGCUUGAGGCCGGGAGGGGGUAGCGGAAUUCCCAAUGUAGCGGUGAAAUGCGUAGAUAUUGGGAGGAACACCAGUGGCGAAGGCGGCUACCUGGACCGGUUCUGACGCUGAGGCGCGAAAGCGUAGGUAGCAAACAGG